GAUGAAUUACAGAAUCUCUUGUCUUUGUGAGCAAUGGAACAAUGUUCUUCAAUUUGGCAUUAAAUCCACAAAAAAGAUAAAUUCUUUAAGGCAGGUGUUAAUGAGAUCUGAAGGUCAAUCUGUGUUCUGGCUAUUUAUCAAGGAACAUCUUAGCUCUAGUGAAAUAAAGACAUAUAAUUCUUUACAUAAUGUAAUGACAGAUGUUGGUAGAG